rnacentral:lncRNA from 1 species
AAAAGAAUCAAUAUAAGAGUUGCUAAUGUUGAAAUUAUUUGAGGGAUCACUAACUCGAGACUCUCUAAGACUCUUAGAUGAUGACCCAAUAGAAGGACUAUGAAAAUUUUCAAAAGCACACGAUGAGUACUUUUUAAAUGUUCAUUGUUUAUGUGGUUGUUUUGCUGCAUAAUAGGGCUGACAAAUAGGGAUACAUUAAUGGCAUGUAAUUUU